CCUACGGGUGGCAGCAGUGGGGAAUAUUGCACAAUGGGGGAAACCCUGAUGCAGCGACGUCGCGUGAGUGAAGAAGUAUCUCGGUACGUAAAGCUCUAUCAGCAGGGAAGAAAAUGACGGUACCUGACUAAGAAGCCCCGGCUAACUACGUGCCAGCAGCCGCGGUAAUACGUAGGGGGGCAGCGUUAUCCGGAUUUACUGGGUGUAAAGGGAGCGUAGACGGCAGCACAAGUCUGGAGGGAAAUCCCGGGGCUUAACCCCGGAACUGCUUUGGAAACUGUGCGGCUUGAGUGGAGGAGGGGUAAGCGGAAUUCCUAGUGUAGCGGUGAAAUGCGUAGAUAUUAGGAGGAACACCGGUGGCGAAGGCGGCUUACUGGACUGUAACUGACGUUGAGGCUCGAAAGCGUGGGGAGCAAACAGGAUUAGAUACCCCAGUAGUC
rnacentral:rRNA from 1 species